AGAUUGAACGCUGGCGGCAGGCCUAACACAUGCAAGUCGAGCGGUAGAGAGGUGCUUGCACCUCUUGAGAGCGGCGGACGGGUGAGUAAAGCCUAGGAAUCUGCCUGGUAGGUGGGGGAUAACGCUCGGAAACGGACGCUAAUACCGCAUACGUCCUACGGGAGAAAGCAGGGGACCUUCGGGCCUUGCGCUAUCAGAUGAGCCUAGGUCGGAUUAGCUAGUUGGUGAGGUAAUGGCUCACCAAGGCGACGAUCCGUAACUGGUCUGAGAGGAUGAUCAGUCACACUGGAACUGAGACACGGGU
rnacentral:rRNA from 1 species